UUUUUGGUUAGCUCUCGGGUUGCCUUCAGCGGGCUGCGUACCGGUACGGGUUAGCUUGCUGUACCGGUACGUGAUCGAUGGCUGUACCGGUACGUGGUGGUGUACCGGUACACAGACCAUUUCCCAGCAAACCCGAGGCUUGGGUUUGGCUUUUCGUGGGUGGUGUACCGGUACACAAACCCGUGUACCGGUACACAGUGCAGAGCGGGCUGUUUUCGUGGAGGGGUGUUUUUGCAAUUGUUGCAACCCCUUUAUAAACAACCCCAGCCCCUUUGAGAGCUCCUUUGAGCCCUAAACCUGAGGAGACAAGGUAAGAACUCCCUCUCUUGAGUUCUCUUCCAUUUUUGAUGGAUUUUGGUGGGUUUUGAUCUUCUCCUCCUUGCUUUUCUUGCUUCUUUUUGGGUUUCCUCCAUUUGCAUUCAUCAUGACAUGUGGACAGAUACUGACUUAGAGUAUUACUUGGACUUCGACUAGAAUAGUAAACAACGGAACUUUACUAUUUCGCAUUGUGAAUAUUAUAAUAGUUGGAGACUUUCACUUCGUGCAUAGUUGCUUCAUCCUUAUGCUAUUUAUGCUAAGUAGAGAUAUCAUGUUGUAGUAAGUUACAUUUUUACUUGCCUUUCGCUUUCCUACAUUUAUAGUCACUGACAUCUUUUGUAGCUUUGGGCCUUGUGGUGCAUUCACUGAAGUCAGUAAUUGCCCACUGGGAACUAUUUUAAUAGUUCUCACGCCCCUGUUUCUAUGUUUCCUUUUCAGAGCCUUCGGCACCGGCGGAGGCACGGGAUCGCGGCAAGGGUGUCGCGUAGCCAUCCCGGGAGAGUUUCUUUUGCGCUAGGUGGUUGCUUUUUCUCCAUUUUGUAUUUUGAGAGAGUGUGAGGCUUUGUACCCUGUAUAGAGAGACCACUUUGUACUCCUUUUAGCACUUGUUAUGAGAUCCCCAUUGUACUUACUUUAUGUUCUAUUUAGUGGAUUUACAGUUUUAUCCUUAUCCCUUGUUGUAGCAUUUAGACAUUUAUUAUGCUCUGAUACUCCUAGAUGUCUUUUAUUAUUGCUUUUAUUAUGUCUGUUUUUAGACGCCUUAUAUUGUUGUAGACAUAUGGCGGGUCUGGGCACG
rnacentral:lncRNA from 1 species